rnacentral:rRNA from 1 species
UACGGGGGGGGCAAGCGUUGUUCGGAAUUACUGGGCGUAAAGGGCGCGUAGGCGGCCUGCUAAGUCGAACGUGAAAUCCCUGGGCUCAACCCAGGAACUGCGUCCGAUACUGGUUAGCUUGAAUCCGGGAGAGGGAUGUGGAAUUCCAGGUGUAGCGGUGAAAUGCGUAGAUAUCUGGAGGAACACCGGUGGCGAAGGCGACAUCCUGGAACGGUAUUGACGCUGAGGCGCGAAAGCCAGGGAAGCAAACAGG